rnacentral:rRNA from 1 species
CCUACGGGUGGCAGCAGUCGAGAAUCAUUCACAAUGGGGGAAACCCUGAUGGUGCGACGCCGCGUGGGGGAAUGAAGGUCUUCGGAUUGUAAACCCCUGUCAUGUGGGAGCAAAUUAAAAAGAUAGUACCACACGAGGAAGAAACGGCUAACUCUGUGCCAGCAGCCGCGGUAAUACAGAGGUCUCAAGCGUUGUUCGGAAUCACUGGGCGUAAAGCGUGCGUAGGCUGUUUCGUAAGUCGUGUGUGAAAGGCGCGGGCUCAACCCGCGGACGGCACAUGAUACUGCGAGACUAGUGUAAGGGAGGGGGAACCGGAAUGCUCGGUGUAGCAGUGAAAUGCGUAGAUAUCGAGAGGAACACUCGUGGCGAAGGCGGGUUCCUGGACAUUAACUGACGCUGAGGCGCGAAGGCCAGGGGAGCGAAAGGGAUUAGAUACCCUAGUAGUC